GAUAAACGCUGGCGGCGUGCCUAAUGCAUGCAAGUCGAACGGGAGCGUCUUCGGGCGUCGACCGUGGCGGACGGGUGAGGAACACGUAGCUAACCUGCCCGGACCCGGGGGAUACCGGCCGGAAACGGCGACUAAUACCCCAUGGGGUCAGUUGUGGGGACAUGACUGACGAAAGGUGGCAACACCGGGACUGGAGGGGGCUGCGGCCGAUUAGCUGGCUGGUGGGGUAACGGCCUACCAGGGCGAUGAUCGGAGCUGGUCUGAGAGGACGGCCAGCCACACGGGGACUGAGACACGGCCCCGACUCCUACGGGAGGCAGCAGCAAGGAAUUUUCCACAAUGGGCGCAAGCCUGAUGGAGCAACGCCGCGUGGGGGAUGAGGCGCUUCGGCGUGUAAACCCCUUUUCAGGGGACGAAGACCAUGACGGUACCCCUGGAAGAAGGACCGGCUAACUACGUGCCAGCAGCCGCGGUAAU
rnacentral:rRNA from 1 species